rnacentral:rRNA from 1 species
AUUGAACGCUAGCGGGAUGCCUUACACAUGCAAGUCGAACGGAGUGGCGAACGGGUGAGUAAUGUAUCGGAACGUGCCCAGUAGCGGGGGAUAACUACGCGAAAGCGUAGCUAAUACCGCAUACUAUUGGAGCGGCCGAUGUCGGAUGAGCUAGUUGGUGGGGUCACGGGUAACCAGGGCGACGAUCCGUAGCUGGUGUGGGAGGCCGACCAGCCACACUGGGACUGAGACACGGCCCAGACUCCUACGGGAGGCAGCAGGGGGGAAUUUUGUGCAAUGGGGGAAACCCUGAUCCAGCCAUCCCGCGUGUGCGAUGAAGGCCUUCGGGUUGUAAAGCACUUUUGGCAGGAAAGCGGUACCUGCAGAAUAAGCACCGGCUAACUACGUGCCAGCAGCCGCGGUAAUAC